UCUCCGCUUGCGCGGGCAGUCUUUUUAGAGUCCCCAGCAUUACCUGAUGGCAACUAAGAGCAGGGGUUGCGCUCGUUGCGGCACUUAAGCCAACACCUCACGGCACGAGCUGACGACAGCCAUGCAGCACCUGUGCUAGCCCCUUACGGACACGGGCUUUCACCCGCUUUAACUAGCAUGUCAAACCCAGGUAAGGUUCUUCGCGUUGCAUCGAAUUAAGCCACAUGCUCCGCCGCUUGUGCGGGUCCCCGUCAAUUCCUUUGAGUUUUAACCUUGCGGCCGUACUUCCCAGGCGGGGUACUUAAUGCGUUAGCGUCGACACUGGAGGGGUCAAUUCCUCCAACAUCUAGUACCCAUCGUUUACAGCGUGGACUAC
rnacentral:misc_RNA from 1 species